rnacentral:rRNA from 1 species
CAGCCGCCGCGGGAAUACGUAGGUGGCAAGCGUUGUCCGGAAUUAUUGGGCGUAAAGGGCUCGCAGGCGGUUUCUUAAGUCUGAUGUGAAAGCCCCCGGCUCAACCGGGGAGGGUCAUUGGAAACUGGGAAACUUGAGUGCAGAAGAGGAGAGUGGAAUUCCACGUGUAGCGGUGAAAUGCGUGGAGAUGUGGAGGAACACCAGUGGCGAAGGCGACUCUCUGGUCUGUAACUGACGCUGAGGAGCCAAAGCGUGGGGAGCGAACAGGAUUAGAUACCCCAGUAGUCCCUGUCUCUUAUAC